GACGAACGCUGGCGGCGUGCUUAACACAUGCAAGUCGAACGGUAAGGCCCUUCGGGGUACACGAGUGGCGAACGGGUGAGUAACACGUGGGUGAUCUGCCCUGCACUUCGGGAUAAGCCUGGGAAACUGGGUCUAAUACCGGAUAGGACCACUGCCUGCAUGGGUGGUGGUGGAAAGCUUUUGCGGUGUGGGAUGGGCCCGCGGCCUAUCAGCUUGUUGGUGGGGUGUUGGCCUACCAAGGCGAGGACGGGUAGCCGGCCUGAGAGGGUGACCGGCCACACUGGGACUGAGAUACGGCCCAGACUCCUACGGGAGGCAGCAGUGGGGAAUAUUGCACAAUGGGCGCAAGCCUGAUGCAGCGACGCCGCGUGAGGGAUGACGGCCUUCGGGUUGUAAACCUCUUUCAGCACCGACGAAGCGCAAGUGACGGUAGGUGCAGAAGAAGGACCGGCCAACUACGUGCCAGCCGCCGCAGUAACAC
rnacentral:rRNA from 1 species